rnacentral:misc_RNA from 1 species
UCAAUCAUCUCCGUCAAUGAUAGGCGCCCAUCUUUAUCUGAAUCAGCCUGUGAUAUGAUAUAAUCUGCUUGUUGUUUUGCAUAAUAACGCUCUGAUGGAUGGAGCUUCCCAAUUAUAGGUAGUAACUCGGUGUCAGACAAAUAUCUGUCACCAUCUUUGUCUAGCUGAGCAAACAAAAUCUUAGCUGGGGCCUCCAUUGAAUCAUCAGAGAUAUGUGAAGAAUUUUGACUUUCCUCGUCAUAAUUUCUCACCAGGUCAAAUAGCCCAUGGAAGAAUU